CGUUAUGAGCAAUGGAGUGACGCAGAAGGAUAGUGACGCGAGCUGAUGGAUGCUCGUCCAAGCAGUGAGGCUGAUGUGUAGGCAAAUCCGCACAUCGUAAGGCUGGGCUGUGAUGGGGAGGAAAAUUUAAGUACCGAAGGUCAUGAUUUCACACUGCCAAGAAAAGCUUCUAGCCAGGCGAAGGUGCCCGUACCGCAAACCGACACAGGUGGGUGAGAAGAGAAUUCUAAGGCGCGCGGAAGAACUCUCGUUAAGGAACUCGGCAAAAUGACCCCGUAACUUCGGGAGAAGGGGUGCCUCGGUAGGGUGAAUAGCCCGAGGGGGCCGCAGUGAAAAGGCCCAAGCGACUGUUUAGCAAAAACACAGGUCUGUGCGAAGCCGCAAGGCGAAGUAUACGGGCACGCCUGCCCGGUGCUGGAAGGUUAAGAGGAGUGGUUAGGGGCAACCCGAAGCUAUGAAUUGAAGCCCCAGUAAACGGCGGCCGUAACAAUAACGGUCCUAAGGUAGCGAAAUUCCUUGUCAGGUAAAUUCUGACCCGCACGAAUGGCGUAACGACUUGGGCGCUGUCUCAACGAGAGAUCCGGUGAAAUUUUAAUACCUGUGAAGAUGCAGGUUACCCGCGACAAGACGGAAAGACCCCAUGGAGCUUUACUGCAGCUUGAUAUUGGACUUUGGUACGAUCUGUACAGGAUAGGUGGGAGCCUUUGAAGCCUGAGCGCCAGCUUGGGUGGAGGCAUCGUUGGGAUACCACCCUGAUCGUAUCGGAGUUCUAACCUAGUACCGUGAUCCGGUAUGGGGACAGUGUCAGGUGGGCAGUUUGACUGGGGCGGUCGCCUCCUAAAAUGUAACGGAGGCGUUUAAAGGUUCCCUCAGAAUGGUUGGAAAUCAUUCGCAGAGUGCAAAGGCAUAAGGGAGCUUGACUGCGAGACCUACAAGUCGAGCAGGGACGAAAGUCGGACUUAGUGAUCCGGUGGUACCGAAUGGAAGGGCCAUCGCUCAACGGAUAAAAGCUACCCUGGGGAUAACAGGCUUAUCUCCCCCAAGAGUCCACAUCGACGGGGAGGUUUGGCACCUCGAUGUCGGCUCAUCGCAUCCUGGGGCUGAAGUAGGUCCCAAGGGUUGGGCUGUUCGCCCAUUAAAGCGGUACGCGAGCUGGGUUCAGAACGUCGUGAGACAGUUCGGUCCCUAUCUGUCGCGGGCGUAGGAAAUUUGAGAGGAGCUGUCCUUAGUACGAGAGGACCGGGAUGGACGUACCGCUGGUGUACCAGUUGUCUCGCCAGAGGCAUCGCUGGGUAGCUAUGUACGGAGGGGAUAAGCGCUGAAAGCAUCUAAGCGCGAAGCCCCCCUCAAGAUGAGAUUUCCCAGUAUGUAAGACCCCUUGUAGACGACGAGGUUGAUAGGUUCGAGGUGGAAGUGCGGCAACGUAUGCAGCUGACGAAUACUAAUCGGUCGAGGGCUUAACCAA
rnacentral:rRNA from 1 species